rnacentral:misc_RNA from 1 species
GAUGAAGAACGCAGUGAAAUGCGAUAAGUAAUGUGAAUUGCAGAAUUCAGUGAAUCAUCGAAUCUUUGAACGCACAUUGCGCCCUCUGGUAUUCCGGAGGGCAUGCCUGUUCGAGCGUCAUUAUAACCACUCAAGCUCUCGCUUGGUAUUGGGGUUCGCGGUUCCGCGGCCCCUAAAAUCAGUGGCGGUGCCUGUCGGCUCUACGCGUAGUAAUACUCCUCGCGAUUGAGUCCGGUAGGUCUACUUGCCAGCAACCCCCAAUUUUUACAGGUUGACCUCGGAUCAGGUAGGGAUACCCGCUGAACUUAAGCAUAUCAAUAAGCGGAGGA